UCAGGGAUCAAAAGGGAAAAAAAAAGGGGACUCUUCUUGUUCUAGUGAGCGAACGAACGAAGGAGAAACAUAAAUUUAAAUUGAAAGCCUUAGCUCUCAAACUAAAGAGAGAGGUGGAAGAAGAAGAAGAACGAGAAGAAGAUUGACCAAAGGAAUUCGUACGGAGUAAUUGAGUGGCAAGCUUGGUAACUCAACACAAGUACUAGAAUUCAAGUGGUAUUGAAGAGGAUUCCAUUAACUAGCGUGUGAGUUAGUAGCAUCUGGUGAGCCCCGCAUUGCUUCGCGUGGCAAGAGAACUAUUGAUUUGUUAUGUUUAUUUAGUUUCUUUUAAAAACUCUUAGAAUUGCUCCAUUUGUCAUUCUUUGGAUUUGAGUCAAGAUUAGUCCUUCGAAUUA